GAUGAACGCUAGCGGCAGGCUUAACACAUGCAAGUCGAGGGGCAGCGCGGGAUAGCAAUAUCCUGGCGGCGACCGGCGGAAGGGUGCGUAACGCGUGAGCGACAUGCCCGUUGCCCGGGGACAACCGGUGGAAACGCUGACUAAUCCCCGAUGGGAUAUUGUGCCGCAUGGCACGAUAUUGAAAGUUAUGGCGGCGACGGACUGGCGCGCGUCCGUUUUGUUUGUUGGCGGGGGAUCGCACCACCAAGGCUGGUAUCGGUAGGGGUUCUGAGAGGGAGGCCCCCCAAAGUGGUACUGAGACACGGCCCAGACGCCUACGGGAGGCAGCAGGGAGGAAUAUUGGACAAUGGGCGGAAGCCUGAACCAGCCAGGCCGCGUGCGGGAAGGAGGCCCUAUGGGCUGUGAACCGCUUUUGCCUGGGGGCAAUAAGGGCGUCGCGCACGUCCGAUGAGAGUACCAGGCGAAUAAGCAUCGGCUAACUCCGUG
rnacentral:rRNA from 1 species